GUGCCAGCAGCCGCGGUAAUACGUAGGUGGCAAGCGUUGUCCGGAUUUACUGGGCGUAAAGGAUGCGUAGGCGGAUACUUAAGUCAGAUGUGAAAAUCCCGGGCUUAACUUGGGAACUGCAUUUGAAACUGGGUAUCUAGAGUGCGGGAGAGGAAAGUGGAAUUCCUAGUGUAGCGGUGAAAUGCGUAGAGAUUAGGAAGAACACCAGUGGCGAAGGCGACUUUCUGGACCGUAACUGACGCUGAGGCAUGAAAGCGUGGGGAGCAAACAGGAUUAGAAACCCGUGUAGUCCA
rnacentral:rRNA from 1 species